AACGAACGCUGGCGGCAUGCCUAACACAUGCAAGUCGAACGAGACCUUCGGGUCUAGUGGCGUACGGGUGCGUAACGUGUGGGAACCUGCCCUUAGGUUCGGAAUAACUCCCCGAAAGGGGUGCUAAUACCGGAUAAUGUCUUCGGACCAAAGGUUUAUCGCCUUUGGAUGGGCCCGCGUUGGCUUAGGUAGUUGGUAGGGUAAACGCCUACCAAGGCGACGAUCCAUAGCUGGUCUGAGAGGAUGAUCAGCCACACUGGGACUGAGACACGGCCCAGACUGCGACGGGAGGCAGCAGUGGGGAAUAUUGGACAAUGGGCGAAAGCCUGAUCCCGCAAUGCCGCGUGAGUGAUGAAGGCCUGAGGGUUGUAAAGCUCUUUUACCCGGGAUGAUAAGGACAGGACCGGGAGAAUAAGCUCCGGCUAACUCCGU
rnacentral:rRNA from 1 species